rnacentral:lncRNA from 1 species
AUCGAACAAAAUCUAUGAUGUACGAGGGCUAAUCGUCUCAAAGAGUAUGUACGAACUCUAAUGGGCGUGUUUCGUUUCGAUUCUUUUUCACCACUGAGAUCGGAAUUGGAAUGCGGUAAAUGUUUGUGGGUGUUUGAUACGCGGGAGUCAUUCCGAUUCAGUUCCGAUUCGAGAGUAGAAUGGGAAUCCCUAAUACUCCAUUUCUCAAUCGGCCUUAGAGUCGGAUGGAAGUUGAAUCGCGGAAGAAAUGGAUUAUUUCAGGAUUAAAUUUAUUUUUUCUUCUUUUCAUUAAAAUAUGAGUUAAAUUUAAAAUUAAAUAUAUAAAUUUUAAUUUUAAUUUGAACUUAAAUUAAAAAUAAAUUUAAUCAGUAUUUCCCAAUUCUUAUGAUUUGAAUUAAAUAAAUUUUAAUUUAUAUAAAGUUUUUAUUCAAAUUUUAAUUUCAAACUUAAAUUAAAAUUUAUGGAUUAAUUAAAUAAAUUGUAUUUUAAAUUUGAUUUGAAUAAUGUGAAAAUUUAGUUUUAUUUUUGAUUAUCAAAGCUUAAAGUUUAAUUUACUUUUUAAAAAAAUGAAGGAUUUAAAAUUUUGACAUUAUUUCAAUUUUGAUGUAAAUUUUUUAUUUAAUUUUUAUUUGAAUUUAUUAAUAUUAUUAUAAGAUAGUGUUAGUAUAUAAUUUGAUUUGUUUUUAUAUCCACAUGAACAAAACAGACAAUGGAGCUAUUAUUCGAUUCCGAUUCAGGUGAUGAAGCCAAAGAUUAAAAUAUAGUCAUUCCGAUUUCGAUUCCAGGCUUAUUUUGAUUUCAAUUCCGAUUCCGAUUCCGGAUUCCGAUUCGACGUUCCGAAGCCAACACGCUAUAAUAUAUAUAUAUUAUUAUAUAUAUAUGGGUGCCUGCUAUAUAUCUAUUAUGGAGUCAGAUUGCUCGUAUCAUAAGUUGUUUUCGAUGAUAGAGUUUCCGAUCACGAUCAACCGUUAAACGUUAUUUACAAUAUGUAAAAUUCUAGAAAUCAAUUUUAUAAUUGAUCAAGAGGUCACAAAUUUGACAAUUUUUAACGGCCGGUAUGGGAUACUGGCUAGUUUAACGGUGUAAAAGAAUCGGAAUUUGUUGAAUUUUUGAUAGAAAAUUCUAUUCACUACAUAGAUAAAGAUCAAUAACUCCGAUCUUGAAUUGAAGAAUCCGAUCAUUCUUUUUUAGGACGUCGUUCGAUUUUGACCAUUCAUUUUAUGCCCACUUGAUGGAUUUUAUUAUGAUUUCGAAAAUUUACGAAAUUUAUUUUCUAGAAGUUUCAAAUACUCUAGAUCAUAUUUAACGGAGUGGAUCGUCGAUUCGGAAGCUCCAUCGGCCUAUAUAUAUAUAUAUAUAUUAUAGGCUGGGGCUACUAUACUCUUAUGAGUAUAGACCCCCUUAUACUUAUAAAUUUUUAACUGUCUAUUGAUGGAAUAUAUGGUUAGGAUGAUGGUGGUCCCACUUAGAAUAAUAGUGGUCUCCUAGGGUUGAGUGGGUAGUUGGUUGAAUAGUAUGAUCUAACGGGCGAAAAUGAUCAAUGGAAUAAAUCUAAGGGCCGAAAACUUAUGAGUAUAAACGAGCCAAUACUCAUAAAAAUAUAGUAGCCGGACUCUAUAUAUAUAUAUAUAUAUUGGGUGCAUGCAUGUGUUGGGUAGGUGUAGGUCAUCCUAAUAUGUUUCGAUGAUGAUGAUGAUGAUGAUGAGAUUGAUUUGUUUACAAAUUCUCGUGUCGCCGAUAACAACAACAGUGCCCCUCCCUCUCGUCACCGGAGCACGGGUCCCACUCUCUCGGGAUCUCCACAAAACUCGAGCGGCGAUUGGUGGCUCCGAAAGUGUCCCGCGCAAUAAUUGGUGGGACCCGCGUGGGGUAAACAAGUUUGGUGCGGGGCCGGUUUCAGCGCGGCCGUGCAUGCGUGGGAUCUACGGUGCGCUUUUAUUAAAGCUUUUCUUUGGUUUCUCCUUUUUCAUUUUCCUUUUUUUCUCUUAAAAAAAAAAAAAAGUUAAUUUUAUACCGGACAUUAAAAAUAUAAUAAAUUAUAAAUAUAUACCUUCAAAGUUCAAUUUUUAUAUAUUAUUUCUAUAAAAAUUCUAAUAUUUUUAAAUAUGUUUAUCUGAUUUGCUAUCGUUAAAAUACUGUUUAUUUUAUAAGGCUUCGUUUGGUUCGAAUAUAAGCAAAAACUAGAUAUUACAGGGAUAGAUAUAAGUAUGAGGAUAAGAAAAAUAACGUUUAGAUAAAAAAUUGGGUUGUUUCCGAGUAGCGUUUGGAUAUGUAAUAUGGAAUAAGAAAAAUAGUGGAUAGUUAUAUAUAGAAAAUAGAGGUAUUGAUGGGGAUAGUUAUAUCAGCUUAUUUCAGAUACCCGAGAACUAUUAUUCUCGGAUAAAAAAUUUGUGUUUGGAUAUAAAGGGGGUAAGGAGUUAUCUCUCCCCUUAUCCCUGAUCGAAACGCUACCUAAGUGAAUAUCCCUCUAAAAGUCCCAACUAUUAAUUAAUGGGGGGUAAAAAGGUCAAUUCAUUUUAUAAACUAAUCAGAGUUAAGUAUUUUAUCUAUAGUUAACUAAUUUUUUCUAACGGAUCUUAAAAAUUUUGCACGAAUAAUAUAUAAAAAUUAAACUUUAUAGAAAUAUAUAUUUAUCAUUUAUUAUAUUUGUAGGGAUCUGUAUGAAAUUAACUCAAAAAAAAAAAAAUAAAUAAAAAAAGAAAAAUUGUUUGAUGGGGCGUGGUCCUAUAAUUGAGCACGGGCCACGCGCGUGCUCUGGGUACGCGGUACUUCUUUUGGCUUCGCUCCCCGAUGUUUCUUUCACGUUUGAGGCCACUCUCUCCCUUUCUCACGGUUACCCAUAAAUGUCGCCUGUGUAUUGUUCAAUAUAUUCUAUAAUUCAGAUUUAACAGCUAAUAUGACAUCAUAAAUAUUUAACUAUAUUAUUUUAGAUUAUACUUAAUUAUAAAAUAUUAAUUUUUAGACGAGUAGAACUACUAUGCUAUCGAAAGUAUAAAAAAUCUGGUGCUUCCGACUUUUUAGCUCUUAGAUCAGUCCCUUUAAUUAUUUCUAUUUUUUGAAUUAAUACUAUUAUUCUGUGGAACCACUCAAUUCUAGAGAUACUACUCAAUUUUAGGAGGGACCGCAAUCAUCCCAAUUGUACAAUUCUUGAUCCAAGGGUCAAAAAAUCGGAAGCAUCAAAUCCUCUAUAUUUUCGGUAGCUUUUUAGUUAAGUUGAUUUUAAUAUGACUUCAUAAAAAAAAAACACAGCCAGUAUGAUUAACACCGGUCAAUUUUUUUUUUUAUUUAUCCAACUAAAAAAGUUGAACGGAAUCAAUUUAUAGAUUGUGUCAUUGAACACCGGUCAGUUCGACCUGGAUUUUAAAUAAACGAGAUUGUUAGAAUCUUCUUUUAGAAAAAGGAUAAACUCUAAUUCGAUCCAUGUAUAUUAGCUUAUUUUGUUUACUGCUUUAUGAUUCAAAUAAUUACACUUAACUACUUUAUAGUUUUAUUUUUUAUUUCACUAAAAAAAAUUCUAUACUCAAAGAGGGUAAUAAAGUAAAGUUUUUUGUAAACCACGUAUUAGUAUCCAAUUUAACAAUAGAAGCUUACAUAAAAAAUAAAUUUAUAAAAAAAUUAUAGGAUAGUUAAAUAUAGUCUUUUGAAUUAUAAGAUAGCUAAGUAAAAACGUGCUAAAUAAAAAAAUAGUUAAGUCCAUCUUGUUGAACCACAGAAUGAUAAAGUAAAAAAUAUGUUAAACCACAGAAAGACAAAUUAAAAUUUACCAGUAAAAAAAUGCUUACAAGUUACAAUACGCACUCAGUUGUUUUGUGAGAAGCCAAUUUUGAAUUUAGAUUACCUAAUCCUAGCAUAAGGAUACAAACUAUAUGUUCUAAGCAAUAGUGAUUAUAAACUGUAUAAUAAGUCAUAUGAUGCCUUUGUUUAACAGUAAAAAUUCAUAGGCAUUUCAUUAAAGGAGAGCUUAAUUACAAUAAAAAAAUAUUUUGGAAAGAAAAAGUACAACGCAGCUCCUUAUAAGAGGAGAAUAAAUUAAGAAAUCCAAAACUACACUGAAAUAGUUAUUAAUGUGCAGAUAAUUUUACAUAUUAUAAUUUUCGACUGUACUGAUAAAAACCCUUCGUAUUAUAUAUGUAUUAAUAUUGUAAUAGCUUAUAAGGAUACUAUUUUUGAAAGGCCUAUAGCAGUACCCAUCAAUGAGAAGAGAAAUAAAAAAAAUCAAUAGUAGUAUAUAUUUAUUUAUUAUUUUUAGUUUGCUUGUAAACCCCGUUACCUAGAACCCCUCUAAGUGCCUAGGGAUGCAAAUGGAUCCGGGUUGGUGGAGCUCCGCCCCGAUCCGCUCCGAAUGGGGUGGUAAGUGGGAACAAAAAAUAUAGAAAAAUAUAACCCGUCCCGAAUCCGCCCCGAUCCGCCAAGUAAAUGGAGCGGGAGGCGGGAGACUCUUUUCUUCCUUCAAUCUAUCCGAUCCGUUAAAAAUCCGCUCCCGCCCCGCUCCCGCCCCGAAUGGAGCGGUAAGUGGGAGCCAAAAAUAAAAUAAAAAGUAACCCGCCCCGAAUCCGUCCCGCCCAGAUAAAAAAUGGAGCGGGAGGUGGGGGAACUCUCCCGCCCCCGGAUCCGCCCCGUUUGCAUCCCUAUAAAGCUAUAAGUGCCUAUGAAAACUCAAUAGGAGGAAACUUCUAAAAUAUAUCAGUCACAUAUUCUAUAUAGCAUAGCCCAAUCAAUUACAAUUGUCUUCUAAUAGUCACCUAUCCCAUCAUAAUUUUAUAAAAAUCUACUUUUAUUAUAUAUAUUUUUUUUCAAAAAAAUAUAUCUAAUUAGUUUCGUAUUAACUAGUUAAUGUCACUGACAUAACUCUCAAAUUUAAGCUUCUACCAAAGUUUGAACACCCAAGCACUAUUCCUAGUCACUAGCUAGGGCACUCGUGGUUACAUAGUAAACCAUUUUGUAUGACUUUUUUCUUCUUCACUAGUUCAAUGGCUUAUAUACUUUGUUUCAUCCUUUUUUUUAACACUGCGUAUAUAAAAUCAGAUAAAAACGCACAGAACUUAUCUGAACCAUAAAUCAUUUUGAAUCCCGUAUCUAAUCUUUCAAAGUUUUUUUUAUUUUUUCUAUCUAAUCUUUUAAUUUAUUUUAUUUGAGUUAGUCAAGAUACUUUAACUUCAAAUUUUAGUUAAGCUAACUCUCACUUCAAUAAAUUUAUCGUUGUAAAAAUUGCAAGCAGCAUACUAAUUAAAUCUAUGCAAAUAAACAAUGCAUUUAAAUUUUUUAAAAAAUAUCAUUGACCAAUUAAAAUUAAAUAAAUCUAAAAAUUUAGUAGUAAAAUUAACAUUUAAAUAAAUAACAAAUUUUGUACAUUUUUUUACCUACAUAAAAAAGAACUUUUUUUUGCAUUUGGCCUUCUCAAAAAAAAUAUUUUUAUAAAUAAUUCUAUCAAAUUUAUAAUUAUAAUUUUCAUCAUAUCCCUGCCAUACAGGCGCCAUAUAAACGCCACGGGAGCAAGAGUAGAGAUGCUGAAAUAAGUUGAACAUAGUAAUUUAUUCACCGUGUCUAAACACGGUAAAUGGUUAAUCGUGUCCAGACACGCUGGAUGGUUCACUGUGUCUAUUGUCUUACAAGCUUGAGCACGGAAAAAUAUAUGUAUUGUGAAAAAAUAUAAGCAUCGAAUACGGAAGAAUAUUAGUAUAAGACACGAUGAAUCAUUCACCAUUCACCAUAUUUAACUUAACACCUCUCCCCACCCAACGUGGCGUUGAUGUGGCAUCUGUAUGACGGGGAUAGGAUCAGAAUUAUAAUUAUAAAUUUGAUAAAAUUAUUUAUAAAAAAAAGGAAAAAUUUCAAAAAUCCCCCUGUGGUUUCACACUUUAUCACUUUAGUACCAUGUGUUUUAAAUUAAGUGUAUCAAGUUAGUACCCUGUGGUUUCUCACUUUAGUACCCUGUGGUUUAAAGUAUAUCAAGAUAGUACCUUGUGGUUUUGUACUUUAUCACUUUAGUAUCCUGUGGUUUCACACUUUAUCACUUUAGUACCCUGUGAUUUAAAAAUUCAUAGGGUACUAACUUGAUACAAAAUUAAAAACACAGUGUACUAAAGUGAUAAAGUGGAAAAUCACAGGGUACUAACUUGAUACAUUUAAACCACAGGGUACUAAAAUGAUAAAGUGUGAAACCAUAGAGUACUAACUUGAUACAUUUUAAACCACAGGAUACUAAAGUGAAAAGAAUUGAAACCACAAGUGGGAUUUUUGAAGUUUUUUCCUUAAAAAGGGGCACUAAAUGUAAAAAAAAUCCUUAAAAAGAAAUUAUAAACCUUUACCUUGGACAGAGGAUUGGAGUAGUGAUGCUCGUCCACAAAAGAAGCACUGUGGGCACCGAUAGCAGUACAGUUCUUUUUAUUUGAUACUUUUUCUCUACUCAUGGUACGACUGCUCCGCUGCCGCUCAUUAAAGACGAUGCCAGCUGCAGCGCACGUGAUCCGAGGGCGAUAGGACAGCGCCAUCCGCACUCAUCUUUCAGUGAUUCCCCGCGGUAAAAGAUAAUUAUUUAAUACGUGGGAGAAAAAAAAAAGAAAAAGAAAGGAAAAAAAAAAAAGAAAAAGAAAAAGAAAAAACUCCAUGCUGCUACAUGUAGCUAACUGUAUGGACAUAUAUAUAUAUUAUUGACAAACUCUUAUAAUAUUUCAAAUUAUGUGCAUAAUUUAAUUGCUAUAAUGCUAAUAUAUCAAUCAAUAAUAUAAUAAGAGGGCUUGGUGGUUGAUACUCGGGACGUGUUUGGUUCGCUUUUUUUUCACCCUGAAAUCGGAAUCGGAAUUGGUGAAUCUGUUUGUGGAUGUUUGGUACGUGAAAGUUUCAUUCCGAUUCUAAUUCCCGAGGGGAAUGGGAAUCUUCCAAUCACCCCUUUUUUCAAUCCGGCCUCCUGAAGUUAAAUCCGAACGGAAUGGAUAUUUAUUCAGAUUAAAUUUAUUUUUUUUAAUUUUUUUAAAUUAAAAUAUGAGUUUAAAAUUUAGAAAUUAAAUUUUAAUUUUUAAUUUUAAUUUGAACUUGAAUUAAAAAUUAAAAUUUAAUCAAGUAUUUCAAAUCUAACUUAUGAAUUUAAAUUUAAAUUAAAUUUUAAAUUUAUAUAAAGUUUUAUUCAAAUUUUACUUUCAAACUUAAUUAAAUUUAUGAUUCAAAUUAAAAUUAAAUUGUAUAUUUAGUUUGAUUUGAAUAAAUACAAUUUAGUUUUAUAUUUUGAUUAUCCAAAGUUCAAUAAGUUUAUAUUUUUUUAAAAAAAUGGAUUUAAAAUUUUGACAUUAUUUCAAAUUUUGAUAGCAGAAAAUUUAAAUAACUUUAAUUUUUAAUUUGAAUUUAAAUUAAUAUAUUAUAAAGAUAAAGUUAAUAUAUUAAUCUGAUUACGUUUUUUAUAUUACCUGAACCAAAUACCGACAAUGGGAAUGAUUUAUUCUGAUUCUGAUUCAGAUGAUGAACCAAACAGAAUUAGAUAAUGAGUUAUUCCGAUUCCGAUUCCAGUUUAUUUCGAUUCCGAUUCUAAUUCCGAUUCCAACUUCGAACCAAACACGCCCUUGAUGUCUUAAGUUUGAAUCCUAAUUAAUUCACAUUUCCAACUAAAUUUAUUUCUAAAUAAAAUAAACGAAGCGGGUAGCAUGCUACCUAUAUCUCAAAAAAAAAAAAUAAUAUAAUGAGAGCUACAUAAUGGGAGAACCCAAAAUAUUUCUCUUUUGAUUUAUUAGUGAAUUAAAUGUAAAAUCUACAAAUGUACAGAUAAUAUUACUCAUACCUAAAAGCUUAAUUUAUGUCAGCCCGAAUUAAAAAAUAGUAAUGAGUCUAGUUGGAGUUUCUGUAUUUGCCGCAACAAAAAGUCGGUGAGGAAAUUUUAAUCAAUUCUCUCUCUCUCUCUCUCUCUCUCUCUCUUCAAGUUGGCACUUUUAAUCAAACAACAACAAUAAACAAUACACAAGGGUCAAACAUAUGUAACAGUAAUUGAUGAAGUGUUAUUUUAAAAGUAUUAUUACAAAAAAAAAAUGUUAGAUAAAAUGGGGGCAGCUUCUAGUUUUGUAGGUCUCAGAAUUAUAUUCUUAUUAUUUGCUACAGCAUAUACUUCAGAAUGUUUUUAACCAAUAAAGAUACAAGCAAGCCCUAAUUUGGGACUUAAAAAAGUAUAUUUCAACUUUCCACCAAAAAGGGAAAAAGAAAAAAAUUAACUCCUUUAGUGAACAUCUUACUACUACUACACAAAAAAAAGGUUCCCUUGAAGUUGAAGCCAAGUAAGAACUUGGGUAGAGCAAAGGUCCAUAGCUCUUCCUAACGUUGUGGGGGAAUUUACUCACGCUUCUAAUGGCUUCAUUAUCUCCUAAUAACAAUAGUUAUAGCCUCAUUAAUUGCCUACAAGAGUAUAGAAAGGAAGAUAAAAUAUGUAGGUUAGGUAUAACAGUAGUGGACCCAUAAUGGCUAAUUAAGAGCCAUCAUACUAAAGAAACCAUGAAACUUAUAUUACUGCUAAUAUAGCGCCUAUGGAAUAGUAGAGUGAAUAUAACUUUCACAGGUUAGCCUUCUUUUACCUGCUAAUGGCUAGUUAAGAGCCAUGAUACUUAAGAAUCCAUGGAACUCAUCAACUACUUAAGAAUGAGAAUAACUUACAGAGGCUAACCUUCUUAAACCUUAGCAGGUACCUAAAGUAGGUUAUAACCAUUUCAGAGAAGAUACUUUACUUCCUAAAGGGGAAAUAUAUAUGCAGUCCUGAAGCUCUAGUUCUCCAUUUAGGUCCAUAAACUACAAAGUUUUUGCAACUAGGCCAUGAAGUCCUCAAUUUAUGUUGAUCCUCAUCUUCAUCCCUUGUUCUCAAGAGGAGUUCAUCGAUCGUUCGCGAAUCGUCAGUGAAACUUAGUUACUCCAAUGUGUAAAGAUUGAAGAAACCAAAUCAACCUACAGGCCCAUUAGAAGUAAAGGACCUGAGAUCCAUAAAUCACAUACUGGGGCCUAAUCAUGAAGCAUUGAAGUAUAAGAAUCAAAGUACAAUCUCCUAAAAGUUUAAGAAUCAAAGUACAAUCUCCUAAAAGUUUGAGAUGACAUCGCGUUUUUAUCCCAGCGUGUUGAAACUCAAAAGAUUUCAGAGUCAAAUUAGACCCGAAAUUUUGCGAACAAUGCGGAAAGUAUUUCAUAGCUCUGCUGGAAAAACAUCAACAAAUAUAGUUAUUAAUGCAUAAAGUACACACUCUUCAAGCUCUCGUUUGAUAGACUUUGAAUGAGUCAUUUCCAUUACAUAAUUGCAUCAAUUAAGUUAAAGAUAAUAAAGGGAGGAAAACAUUUACACCACGGUUAAAGAAAUAAAUAUAAUACAUAAAGGGACAUAUUUGUUGGUAAUGAUACAUGAGAAAACAUAGAUUACAUUAAAAAUAACCUUCGUGUACCUCACUCGCAUGUUUGCUUUCAAUGGCUUUUGCAUAUAAAAAGACUUUGAACAAGUGUCCGCUCCAAAGCACAUUGUGACUGGAAGUCGCAUUUGGAGCAAAUUAGCAGAAGUGGGGACUAAGACUAAUGCCUGACCAAAUUUCUCCACUUAUCCUUCAAAUCGACCUAACAAGUGCAAAAGCCGAUACCAACAUACACCAUCCGCUAUUAGUCAAAGCCAUGAAUAAAGAACAAGUUAUUUUUGAUAAUAGAAAUGACUUGAUACCUCUGUUCUGUCUUUGAAUAUUGAAGGAUGGCAUUGCUUGAUAAAUUUCCAGUUACCUACACCAUGCCUUCACAUUCAAAAGGGGAAGAAGAAUUAGAGAAGCAUAGAAUUACUAUGCAAAAGUUAGAAACUGAAGUUAGUAUAAAGAUCUUAAUUGGUUGGUAAUUUAGCCCAUAGAUAAUGAAGCUUAGUAAGGGCAGAGCAGGUGUUGGUUCUAGCAAGCUCAGGGCUACGACUAGACAUGAACUGAUAGAUUGAACCUUGCUAUUGCAGAGAAACAGAUACAACUAGGAUCAAGUUUCUACAUGAAAAAGUAAAUAGUAGGAAGUAGCUCAUCUUCUACCUGCAUUUGCAGCCAUACAUAAUUGCACUUGCAGGCUACCAAAUAGCUUUGAAAGUGGAAACUUCCACUACGAAAUUGUGUGACACCGAAAUCUCAAAAUAUGCCUCCUCAGAGCAUUAGUUGACAUUCAAAUUAUUUCUUGGGGCUUUAAUGUAUAUACAACAUCAUUUAUUUACAUACAUAUUUUCAUUAAUAACUACCCAACAAAAUUUUAGUUUCUCAAAAGACAUACCCUAAUCUUAAAUAGGGAAGUCAUCUAAUUCAUCGCAGAAAGGUGGUUUUCUACUAAAAAUGCUCUCUGAGAAAGGUUAUUUUCGCAGUAAGAGUACAUAUAUGUAAGGAACUAAGGAAGUAAAUUUUUGAAGGGUAUAUAUCAUGUGCAUACCUUUCCACAGAUUUUCUCAAGGUCUCCUCUUCCAAUGAACUCCACUUCUUUCUUCUUUUACGUAAAAUAAACUGAUUGUUAUCUUUGACUAACAAAGAAUCCUUCCCUUUCUGGGGGUAAGAGACAUGAGGUUCCUCCACGGGAUUUGCUGGCAAUGGAGAUCCGAACAAAUCAUCCCACUACAGGAAAAAAAAAAAAAAAAAAAAAAAAAAAAAAAAAAAAACUAAUAAUGUCACAGCAAGAGGUAAAAAGAGAACUAAUGUUUAAGUGAAUUUUAAGUGUAAACUAAGUGAUGGUCAUAAUGGAGAGCAAAUGCAAAAAGAGUUAAACCCUUUUAGACCCAGCUUCAGAAUGCGUGGCCCGAACAUAACCCUUAUGAUGCUCGAAGGCUCCAAAAAUUCCGAAAGUAUUUUAGAGGUUCCCUAUUCCGAUGCUUUAAGUGGAGGCAGGGACCACCACCGGAGGACCCCAUAUGAAGACUGCUUUCUUCGGUGGUGGUUUCAAGCACCAUUUUACUCAUUAUGGAACGACAUAUUGUGGAGAUUAGACUUUCUGCGGGGCAGCACAGGGAACUUGCUGAAUCAACUUGCUGGAAUUUCCUGCAGCCACUCUGAGGUUUUUAUAGCCCUCUGAUGCACUAAAGUAGGUGCAUUUGAGCAAAUCAUUCCUAAACUAGACCUUAGGCAUCUUAGUGAGGCCUCCACAAAUAGUAAGCCGUGACAUAACUAUGUGUGGUUAGACAAACAUUUCUGUCAAGCAAUGCAUAAUUAUCCUACCGUCUCAUGAUUUGCCUUCCUAGAAUAAUUGAUGCAAGUCCUGGAAACCCAUCUAGCAGGCACACUGGUUAAUUGUGACUGGCAAUCUAUCAAUCCAGGACUAUGAAGAAAAACUUGUUCCUUGGGAUAAUGGUGAGAACCAGCAGCACAGCAGACCGGUUGAAUAUCAAUCAGCCCGUACGAGCAGGAAACAGUAAAUAACAGCUGAUUCUUUCUAACUUCCACAACAAUACAACACUUCAAAAAAAAUUUCAUUAUGAUGUUAGACAUGGAGAUAGGCAAGAUAGAGUUUAUUUAGAUUAUUUUUAUCUUAAAAAAGUUGGAUUAUGUACAUUUAAUUUCAUCGCUUCUCAAAGUGUUCUAAAUAGUGGAAAUGUCCCCGGGCAGCUAGGGUACCGAAUUAGCUAUGUGGCCGGCAUAGGUCCUAGUGCUUUUUGCAUAUAAUUAUCAUACAUAAAAAAUGGAAAUAAAAAUAAAAAAGAUAUUCUUUAGGUUUGAGAGCCGUAAAUCUUGAGCUAUCACUAGUUAUUCAUGAGAAUUUUGCACAAAGUUAAGGCUACUAUAGAUAAUUGAUUGCAUUAGAAAUUAAUGCAAUCAACAUAUCAAAACCUAAAAAACAAACAGUUGACAUUGAUUGAUAAGAUAGCCAGAUUUAGAUACUUUCAUCUCACAUUGAUAUCUCACUUACUGAAGCACAACAAUCAUAAAGUAUAUGGAAAAGCUAACAAUAUCAUAUGGCAAGAACAUCAAUGCAAAUAACACUAUUAAUAUAUUAAGAUAGUUUUAAGCACAUCUCGGUACCAAAAUAAACUAAGAACAAUGCACUAAAGAGCCAAAGUAAACCAACAGCACAACUGUAACACUUUAUCUCAUGCAACAAAAUAAUAAUACUAUCAACUCAGGCUUUGUUGAUACUGAAAUGUUAAAAAUUGAGACCUCGAUAGUACGUGCAGUUGGAUUGCGCUCCAUCAUACUAGGCCGCCGCUCUGCAGCAGAAUCUCUAUCCAACUUCAAAAUUGUUUUAGUGCAACGAUUUCCACUUUCAUUAGCAUUCUCAAAAGAUCUAAAGUUUGUGCUCUUACAUUUCCCCAUCCUAUUCCAUCCAACACUGCUCGGAUCAUGCAGUUCUGGACUGGAGGAUUCACCCUGGAGUACUGCAUCGUGAUCAUUGGUCCACAAAUUGAACGCAUGGUGAUCUCUGAACAAGAAAUUCUAGCAAUUCCACCUUAAAAAGGAAGUUGAUUAAAGCCUACCUCAUGUGUGUUCUCUUCUAUGAUUUCCUUUCCCCGCUUAUUAACAGUUCCACUAUGAUUGACUACAAUUAAACAAACAAUAGAUGAAUAGAAUGACUAGUCAAAUUCUUAACAUACCAAACCGAAAUAUCCUUAAUGUUUAUCAUCGAAAGCUUAUUAUUCAUCUAAUUCAAGCUAUUGUUACUAGAAAAAGUGAGACUUACCCAGCUCCAGCAACCUAGAUCCUUCUUCGGGACUAGGUUUCGAAGAGUUCGGAUUCUCCAUUUCCAAACCCUUCCCCUUCGCCAUCCCAAUAAGAGCCUCGGCGGCGAGCUCAAGAAACGAAGGCCCCAACUCCUUCCACGCCUCCUCCAAAUAAACCCUAACAGCCUGGAACGCCCUCUCCUCCGUGUACCUCACCACCAAACCCGCCCUAACCGUCGCAUCCACCACCGCCUCCUCCAUCUCCCUCCUCGUCGCCCUCAGCUCCGGCGACACCAAUCCCGCCGCCGCCUCCGCCCCUUCCGCCCCCUCCGCCGCCGCCUCGAGAUCCGCGACGCGGCAGUUCCAGAUCCGAUUCACGGCGUCGUAGAACUCCCCUUCUCCCCCUCCCUCGCCGCCGCCGCCGCCGCCGCCGUCGUCGUCGCCGCCGCGAGAGCUCGGUCUGAGGGGCUUCACGGUGAGAUCGGCGGCGACGGCGGCGUAGGCGGCGCGGAGUGCGGCGGCGGAGGAGGGGCGGGGGAGGGAGGAAAGGAGCUCGAGGGAGUGGAGGGUGCGGGGGGAGAGGGAGCGGCGGGAGAGGUCGGAGGAGAGGCGGCGGAGGAUUAGGGUUCGGUGGAGGGGGGAGGAGGGGGAGGGGGCGGGGAUGGGGAGGGAAAGGAUGAGGCGGUGGACGAGGGAAUCGUCGAGGGUUUGGCGGAGGAGGAAGUCGAGGAUCCACGCGGCCACGUCGGGGUCGAUCAUCUCCUAUACGCGGCGCGAAAAGAGGGGUGGUUUGGCCGGGGCUUUUAUAGCGGACUCGACACAUAUAUAGAGAGAGAGAGAGAGAGAGAGCAACUCUUCACUUCCUUCUCUUGGAAGAUACACACGUGUGACCGUUUCUUCUUAAGAUGAUGACACCGAGAAAAUCGUAAAAAAAAUAAAAAAAAAAACUAAAUUAUAAAAAACUCUUGGGUCAAAAUCUGACUUCUUAAAUCAUUUAAAAAUAUAUUUUUUUAUUUUUUUUAAAAAAUAAAAUAUAUUUAUAAAAAGUACGGUGCUAAUUCUAUUGACAAAAUAAUCAAAUUGGCUUCCACCCUCUUUGGCUCCUCCUUAGUCAUGUUCAUCUUAAGCCUCUCAUCCUCAAUCCUCUAUGUCUCUCUCUCGACUCCAAAUUUUUUCCAUUUGUUCCCCCGCUCCUCAGCACCUUGCCGCCUCUCCAUUUCGGCGGUUGUAGAAAGGAGAUUGGGGUAGUCAUGGACGGAGAGAUUAGAGAGGGCAAGUCCACGGAAGAGCGUGAGGGCGUGUGUAUAGGCACGGACAGAGGGAUGGAUGAGAGCAAAACGACGCGGCCAAGAAAGUAGGUGAGGAGAGAAGAUCUGAAAUGAAAAUUUUAAAAAUAUUUUAGGUAUAAAAAAGUAUAUAAUAAUAAAAUAUAAGUUGAACCGGCCGUCCCUAGAGCAAGUGGCAAAGGGCUUGGUGGUUGGUAUCCGGGAUCCAAGUUCGAAUCCUAGUUGACUCACAUUUCUAGCUAAGUUUAUUUCUAAAUAAAAUAAACGAAGCGGGUAACGUGAUACCUAUCUCUCAAAAAUAUAUAUAUAUAAGUUGAAUCUUAACGGAAUGGCGGGGUCCAAAAUAAAUAUUUUUUAUUUUUUAAGAAGGCAUAAGUAUAAAUUUUUAAUUGAUAGGAGGAAAAGUAAAAAGUAGCUAUUAAUGUAGGAUAUUUUUAUAAUUUCGCAAAAAAAAAAAAUCAUUGAAACUUCAACUUAACCUGAUUUUUUAGUACUAGGCGUCUACGGCCCGAUCGGUAAUCAUGGGCCAGAUCAAUCUCCAAUAAAGCUAACCCGGUCCAAUAAAAGGCCCAGCUCUGUGUUUUCAUUUUGGGGGUAAAAACAGACCUAAUUUAUUUGAACUAUAUUCUAUUUCUAAUUGGCUACACAAUUUUGAUUUUAUUAUCUCACCUUACAAUUUAUUUAAUUUAAAUCGGUCGAUAACACUUUAAUUAUAAAAUUUAAAUUAUGUGUUUAUUUUUAUAGAUUUAGUUAGUGCACUCCAUAUAAUUUUCAUAAAUAUAAAUUUAUUAAAAUAAAUAAUUUACUUAAAAUUUGAAGUCAAAAUAUUGCCGACCGGCUCAAAUCAAAUAAAUAAAUAGUAAAUUUUAAAUUUUAAAAGAUCAAAUAGACAAUUCAAAAUGGUCUUUAGUUCAGAUAAAUUUCCUAUGGCUUUUACUUCACCUGUCAUCUUUUUGGAUUUGAUCACCUAACCUUUAAAAAUUCUAAUUUAGUAUAUAAUUUUUUAAUUCAUUUCAUGUGGACUAAUUAGUAACAUUUUAACUUCAAAACUUGAAUACGUUAUUUAUUUUUACAGAACUAUUUAUGGACCUAGUUAGUAUAUUUUAUAUAAUUUAUGUAACUAUAAAUUUAUUCAAAUUAAAAUAAUUAAUUAAUUUAAGUUUUCUAUAUGCAAAGUCACCAAAUUAUUUAACUCAAAUAAAUUAAAAAAUUAAAAAUUAAAAUUAAAAUUGUGAAAGAUUGGACAGUAAAUUCAAAAUAAUAUGUAUAUUUUAUUUUAUUUUAUUUUUUAUUAAUUUUCUAGUUCGCUCGUUUACUCCUCGCCAUUUAUGAAUCUCAUUUCGAUCGACUUUUUAUUGAGUCGUCUCGCCCAACCCUGCGCUUCUCUCUCAUCCGAUCACCUCCUCACGGUAAAACCCUCUCUCUCUCUCUCUCUCUCUCUCUCUCUCUCUCUCUACCUUUGCAGGUACCCUACUCCCCGGAUGAAGACCAAAACCCUAAAGCGGAGCCGGAGCUCCGACGACGAGGUCGCCGAUCUCACUAAACCCUACUCUCUUCGCCGAUUCGAAACCCUGAAUCCCCGAUUCUCAUCGCCAUUCCCCUGCAGGAUCGGAGCAGGAGCAAGAAGCCCGCGAAGUCCAGCAAGCGGCGGCGGCGCCGCCGCGAUUCCGCCUCCUCCUCCGGCGACGACGACCGCCGCCGCCGCCGUAGGAGGAUCUCCGGCGGCCGCGACAAGAAUCCCGGCGACGGUCGCCGGAAAGAGCCGAAGAGGCCCGGUCGGAAGAGGGCCGCCCCCCGGCGGUCUCGGUAUUCUUCUCCUCCUCCUCCUCCUUCUUCUUCUUCUGUAAGUAGUUAUUCGAGUAGGAGUUGCUCCACAUGCCGUAGCCGGAGUGUUAGUUCGUCUCCCGAGAGGUAUCGGAGGGCGAAGGUUAGGCCGAGAAGUAGGUCUAGGGGUAGGGAGAAGGAGAAGAAGAGGGGUCGAAGCCGAAAAACCUCAAAGAGGUCGCCGAGCUGCUCAACUUGUUCAAGAAGCCCUAGCAGAACCCAUACUGAUGAGAGAAGAUACAAGGAAGAGAGUGAUCAGGCGAGAAGGAUUAGAUCGGAAUCAGGGGUAAAUGAUGCGAAGGAUGAGGAGAGGGAUAAGAUAAUUCAGGCUUACGACGAUUUCCCUUCCACGCAGAGUAAUGAGGGUUUUGAUGGGAAAAAGAGCGAGAAGGAGAUGGUAUCUAAAAAUAUUGAAACUGAGCCUACUGAGAAUGUUGAUGGUGUUGGUAUUGUUCUUGCUAGCGAAAAGAGCAAGAUCGCAGUUAGUUCUGAAAAUUUGGAGGCCGACGAUUUGGAGUUGGUAUUAAGACAGAAGGCAUUGGAGAAUUUCAAAAAGUUCCGAGGCGGGGUUCCUGCGCAAAGAUCGAGUGGAGAUCAUAAGGAUGUUGGCGUAGUAGUUGAUGCGAAAGAUGCUAAAAUUAGUUCCAUUGCUUCUUUUCAAAGGCAAGGAGGCAUUCAAGGUGGAAGUGGCCUGACUAGACCAAGAGUUAGAUCAGUAGUGAGCAUACCCACAGAGAACAAAGGUGGUGAUGGGGGUGUCUCGAUAAUAUGUCCCUGUGAUAAUAGUGAGAAUCUCGAACCUAUUGAUCAGACUAAUGAAGCUCCCGAUGCUUUAAAUCAAUUGAAGAGGCUUGAAGGGGACAACAAUCAAAUGCCUUCCGAGCAAACCACGGUGGCCAAAGAUCAAAUCCUUCAUAAUAAGACUGCUACUGCUGAGCAUGGGAGCAAUAUCGGCAAAACGCUUGAAGGGUCUGCUUCAGGCACAUCGGCAUCAGUUGUGACUAAGGUCGGAAACGAAGCUGUUGUGGAAGAUACAACUGGCUCUCAGUUUGAGCAGAAGACAUUUUCUAGAAUGCACGACGGAGAAAUGGUGCAGGUGAGUCACGGUUCUCCGUGUUGUUAAUAUGCUGCUUAUUUUCCCACAUCCUAAAUUGUGAUAUACUUGAUCUGUCAUGUAGGUGAGCUACAAGGUUUACAUACCGAAGAAAACCCCCGCAAUGGCGAGGAGGCAGCUGCAACGCUGAAGGAUUCAUAGGUAUCUUGCAUUUUGUUUGAGUUCUAUGUAGCUGUUGGUUUGUAGUUGAUUGGGAUACUCUUUUCGUUAUUUUGCAGAGUCACCGCUUCUUCAGUGAUUCAUUGAUGGUUAGCCAGUGUUACGAGCUCUGUGACUUUUCGCCACUCUAGAUGUGACUAAUGAUCUAUAUCCAUCAUUUUAUGCUAGCAUGAGGAGGCAUCAUACUCCUAAUUACCUAUACAGAGCUUGUUUAAUCCACUGGUUUGGCUGUUUGAGAAUUCUAACCAUAAUUCUGAGAACUGAUUGUCGCAAUGUGGUAUGGCUAGGAAUGGUUAUCUGAAUAUUGGAGAAAAAGCAAUCUACAUUUGUAUGAUCUCUUCUUCUUUUUUUUCAUCACCAAACCUCUUACAAAGACAAAAUUGUUGUUAGUUAGUAGAAUUUAGGUUGAUUCAGCUGUCCUGUGUUUUUCCGAAGUCGGUUUUAUUAUUAACUUUAAUAGGAUUUUCUUGUAUGUAGUUUGGCUUGUAUAUUGAAGUUUUAUCUAGUUUAGCUUCAUUAUGAAUCUAGGGUGCUCGUAAAUGCAUGAAUAACUUGUUUGGCACUUUGUUUUAUUUGCUUAAGAGAUAUGCAGAUCAUUUUUUGAAUUCAUUGUAUUUUCGCAACAACAUGAAUGCAUCAAUAUAACUCAAUAUUUCCUAUAUUAUUCUUCAAUUUAUAAACUUCAAGCUCCAAAGAGAAUAAUAAAUUCUUCUGUUAAAUGAACAUGUCACACCCACAUAAAAUUUCAUGAAGAAUCUGGAAACACAUGUACUGGAAAUACAUGAACAACACAAAGAAUGCAUGAUAACAGCUACUGAACUCUGGAGCUUCUUUUCCACCUUUUUCUCUCAACUUCUGUUGGAUAAAAAGGUAGGAUACAUCAUAAAGAAGUAAGAGUUCUUCUACACUUAAUGUUCUUCUCUUUUUGGAUUUCUGUUUUGUACCUUAAGAUGUAUACAACAUGACAAUAGCGUCGCGAAAAAUCAUCUCAUGUGGAGGGCAUGUCGCCUCCCCCUUCGACGGUCCACGCGAAGCUCCGGCGACUUUGGCUUUGUUACUUCCUUCAUCGACCUACGAAAGGAUUUGAUAGUGUAAGCUUUUAGGAGAAAACAAAUUCAAAAGAAAUAAAGUUUUGAUUGUUGGAGCGGUGCUUACUUUUGCGGACAAAAUGGAUUGUCAAACUUUGGAAGGGGCCUCGCGUGGGGCACCAUUGUCCUCCUCAUUUGUUUCAGGGCCUUUUCCUCUUCGAUCUAAACAAAUUUUUUUGGAGCGUUAUUUGUCAAGAAAAAGCACUACCACAACAGUUCACAACCAAGUUACAACUCGUGAAUGAAUCAGGAAGGGAAAGGAGAAUAAUUACCACUUUUGCAGAUUCUUGCUCUUCUCUCAAUCUUUUAUACACAAUCUCUUUCUCCUUAAUCUAUGAAGACGCAGAAAACCAUCAUUGAGAUUUUGAAGUUGAUUUAGAAAUAUAUAAACACGAUUAGUGCGACGGUGAUACAAUAUUUAUGCUGCAGCUGUGGUGUGUUAAUAGACUGUAAGCACGAAGUUCUUUGGGCACAAAGAGUAGAUAAAUUCACUAUCUAUUUUGUGCUCCACUUUUUGAUGCCUACGCUUGUGGGCAAAGACUAAGAAAAAACUUGACUAUUACUAGAAUGUCUAAAUAUGCCCGGUAUUCUAGCAACUUUCCCAAAACCCUAUGCAAAAAUGUUGAGUCUCCUAAACUAGAGAUUCAAAGUGUUAAAAUUUUGCUUAAAAGAAACACAAACAUUUCUCGAUUAGCCACUUUUUAAGUGCAAAAAAAAAAAAAAAGAGAAACGUAUGAUGAUUAUGCAGAUUGACAAACCUUCUUAUCGAAUUCUGAUCUCUGCAUGGACCUCUGAUCCACAUGGAGUACAAUUUCCUGAACUUCGGUAAGAGGUUUUCGCUCCUUUUCAGGAACUGGUAGAGGGUCCCUGAAACAAAAUAGCAUGAAAAUUUGUUUCAAUAUCAACUUCGUACAAUAAGAAGAAGAAAACAAGAGGAUUAAGUAGCAGCUCAAUUUUACUCUGUCAUGAUAGGUUGUGCUCUGAAAAUCCUCCUCUGCGCUUCUUCUCUCUCCAUCCUUUCCUUCUCUUCCAACAUCCUUUGCAUCUCCUCUUCAUGCCUCACUAAACUCUCCAGCUGAAAAGCCUCAGGUUUUGUACAUGGCUUAGGCUCGGGUUUCGGCGGUACCUUCAUACGAAAGGAUUCAUUAUAUGUGCAUCUACAAAUAUAUUGCUACAUAAUCAUCUCAUUUAUAUUUGACCAGAAUUUCAUACACAUCCCUUUGCCAUACACAUUUUUUGUAAGAAUAAGGAUAAUAACAUGUAGGAAAUUUUUUAAGGGCAUAUGUGAAAAUUCAGAUUAUGUGUGGAUAUGCUGCUAAAAUCUCUAAAGAAGUAUGAGGAAGAGUGUCAUGACAACUUGAAAGAUAUUCCUCCUUACCACUGGGUAGUCUGUAGUGUAUGGAUAUGGGUUAGCCCUAGGAAUUCUAGCUUUCUCUUCCUCCAAUUCCUUUUGAAAGAUCUGUAUAGUAAACUUCCUUUCCUUGUCAUGGCCUCUCUCCUAGAAGGAAUUGGAAACAACAGCAAGAUCAGUGUUUGUACUAAGCAUAAACAUAUUACUGUCGAAAGUACGGCUACAAAUCUUACACACCUCCGUAUGGAGGUGGAAAGGAUUAGGUAUUGUGAUUCUUGGGACUUCUCCUUUGCCAUGAAUGGAAGACGUUUCCGAGUGCAACGAAAGCUGAAAUAAGAAAAAUAAGUGAAUUUAGUUUUAAUUAGCCUUUUCUCUGAGGAAAGAAGUUGAAAUAAACUUCUGACUCCAAAGUGGGUGUAUAUAAGCUGUUAGUGCCUUUUCGAACAAUUGUAUAUAAACGAACUUUGGCAAAAACUCCAGCUGAACUAAACUGACCCCUAAAAAUAUAUAUGUAUAAUCUCUGUUUCGUACCUUGUCGAAGAGCUCGACAACUGAUGCAGGUUGUCCCAACCGAUCAUCCGUUGCAAAGUGGAACUCUUGGGGAGUGGUUAUUUGGGGCUUUGGAUGAGAGAAUAAACCGAUAUCUCCUUUGCUCUCAAGGAUCUGCAUUUAUUUUCCUUUUUGUGUAAACAAUUGCUGUUCAUAUUAUACCAAAAAUAGAUUCUAUGAUUAAAAAAAGUAAGACUUGGACCUUCUUGUUUAAUGGCCUAGCCUUAAACUUUGGAGCCUUUUCAAGUUCCUCCAAUUCCAACUCCUGAGAACUUUUCACCCUGUUUCUUAAUGUUGUUAGACAUUUAAACUAAGAGCUAAAUCCCCCAAGAAAUUUAUACUUAUUUCUAACUGCUAUGAACAGCUGCAUACUUUGGUGGUCGCGCUCGUAGUUCCGUUUGAAGUUGGGGAGGUCUUGGCUCAGUAAGUUUGAGGGGUUUGCUAUGAUUCUGCUGCACAAAAAGAAACUAAACUUCAAAUUUAGAACGUGGAAUCCCUUCGAAGAACAAAGAAUUCAACUUAAAAUUCAAAAGAUCGCAGUGCCUGAGAAGAAGCAUCUAGUGAGGAGACUGCUGAAGAGGUUUCUGCAUGCCGGAUCGCCCUCUCCAUUGUCCUCAAAUGGAAUUCCUAUUAGAGUUAAAAGAUACAAGCUGAUUACCUUUACACAAACCAGAAUAAUUUUGAAGGUCAAGUUUUUGUAAACGGAUUACCUGAAACUCAGGCGGUUGUGGGUUACUUCUCGGUAAUGCAGGGAGUGAAGGUGCUUCAAGAAUCUGCAGUAAAUAAAUGUUAUGCGAAGUUAAUUUGAAUUUUCUACCCCUCAAAAGUGCAAAUUCAUAUAAAAGUGUCCUUAGCUUAAGGGGGAGUCAUCAUCCAAUUCACAGGAGGAAGUUGGUUUGCACUAGAAAGUCUCUUCUAAAGGGAGCAUAUCUAAGUAGAAAAGCAUAUUCUUUUAAAAAAAUUAAGUCUUAAAAGCAUAUACGAAAGUUCGAUUUAUAGGGAUGUAUAUAUGUCUAAAUAGAUUGUAUGGCAAUGUUUGUAAAUGUCUCAGGAGUUUAAAGGUUGACCUUCUUGUUAAAAGGCCGGGCUUUGAACUUGGGAAUCUUUGCCAACAUCUCCUGCUCGAGCUCUUCGGAGCUCUUCACUCUAACUGCACGAACUCUAUGAGCGGUCUGAAGCUCGGGUUCCUUUGGCCUAGUCAGGAUUAGCCUAGGCCUUCGCUGAAUUACUGAAGCUGAAUCCUCCUAAGUAGAGAAUUAAUCAAAAGUACAAGGAUUAUUAUUUGUUAAGCUGCUUUUCUAAUAUAUAUUAGCUUCUGAAAUGCACUGUGUCAUUAAAAAAAGCUUUAAUAUAUUAUGGUUAGCAUUAAAAGGAAGAACCAUAUGCUUCAAUAUUACUGAGCUGAUUUUUCAGAAUGCUACAUGCAUCUAGAGGAACCAAAAAGCUUAACAUGCUAUAUCCUACCUCAAACCACUUGAGAAACUUAAAUGAAUUAAACAAACCUAAGGAAGAAUCCAUUAGUAAUAAGUAUGCCUAUAGGAAAACUCAGCCAAGAGGAGCAAGGAAAAAAAGGGGGUUGAAAAAUUUGAAAGUGGCAAUUGAUAAGAAGAUUGAGAAUAUUAAAAGAGAGAUGAAGAGUACAUGUGAAAGUGAUCUGUUCUGCGAGAGAUCCAACUCUCUAGUUCUUGAUUCAAACUUCUUAACCAUUUCCGCAGCGGAUAUAAAUGGCGUCACCUCCUGUUUCAUAUCAUAAGUCUUUGUAAAUAAAACUAACAUGUAGCAUUAAAAAACAGGUCAUGCAUUGCACAUUGCGAACAUAGAGAUAAGCUAUUCCAAGUACCUUAAAUUCCUUAUGACCUUUUGAAACAGAGGAUAACAUAUUUUUGCUGCCUAUUAAACCUGGCCUCAACUUGUGGGGCAGCACCCUAUUUUUCACAUCAAGUAUCUAAACGAAAAGCAUUGACAAGAUAUUAAUGAAAAUGAACAGUAUAACAGAUUCAAAUGGAAAUACCAAUACUAGCAAAGAUAAACAUAUGAGAAUGGGCUACCUGUCUAGCUUUUCCACAAUCCAGUUUUUGCCUCUUUAUUGCCUGAUUUUCAUGAGUAACAUCAGUUGCCAUUGUAAUCUUUCCAUUUAUGUAACUCCUGGGAUCAACAGAUAAAGAUUAUCUAAGAACUUUGAAGCAAUAAUAAGGUUUGAUGGUAUUACAUGAAUGUCAAAAUCAAACAACUCACUUGAUUCCACUCUUUGCUUUUGCGGUUUUGCAAGAUUGUGCAGGAGGUGACUUAACCUUCGGCUUUAGAGCAGAUGGUUGCUUAAACAUACUAGCAAUCUUCUUAGCCGUCAAGUUCGGUCCGUUAGCAGGAUUUCUUUGUGUUUUAGGAGUGCAAGAUUCGGCAACUUGGUUUUUCACACUAGGGGGUGCUACUCGUUUUGUCGAAGCCUUUUGUGUUUUGGGUGUCAAAGCUACAUUAUCUGCAAACAAGUAUAAACAGAAGUAGUAUUUUGGAGGAAAUUGUACUAACGAUUGGUCGAUAAAAGGGCAAAAUUGAGAGAAGAUCAUAUAAGCUCCAGAAAUUUGCAAUUAAUUACCUGGGAUUGUAUUCUCAUUUAAUGAAGGUUGGACAGGGAACUCAAAUGAAGGAACUUCUUCUUUACUCUCAUUAGCAUUCGGCGCAGAUGAGUUAAUACUAUCAACCAAAGAACUGUUUCCACACAAGUGGUCAGUUAAAUUUGUGCUCUAAGAGGGAAAAAUUGGAAUGAUAAUGGAAAUAACUUAGAUGGCAUUUAAAAACCUUGUCUCUUGCCGAGGGUGAGUGCCAUUCUCGCAAGGCUUAACCUAAAAUCCACCAAAAUCUCUUUGAGUAUAAGAUAAAACGGUAAGAUGCAAAUUGCACUACACAAAAGAUUAACUUUUGGGCUUACAAAAUCAAAGGAACUCUUCCUAUGCUGUGCUUCUUGCUGCUUUCCUUUGUUGAUUUCGACGGCUUUGUCGACACUGAAAAGAUAUGAAAUAGAGAAAAAUUUGGUGAGUACCAUGAUGCCAUUUAUAGAGGGAUUGUGUAUUUGUAUCCAAGAGAAUGUAAGAAUUAGUGCUUUUAAAAGAUCUAAUCACCUAGCAGUGUUCUCUUCUACAAUCAUUUGAUUAUCCUUUUCAUCACAAGUUUUUUCUGGGCCUGAUUCCUGCAAUUAACGAGCGGAAAAGGAAAUAUAAUCAAAUCAUAACACUAAAAACCCAAUGUUUUAUCUAAUUUUGCUGAAUCUUAGAAGAAAAAUAACCUUUCGAGUCGAAUCGGCUUCUCCAAAAUCACAAAUGGUGUCGAUUUUAACCGAUCUCCCCUCUUUAAUCCUCGGCAUGAAAGCUAAAUCAACAAAAGAGAAUUAACACAAUAAAACCCUAAACUUCACAAUUGAACGCCCCAUAAAUAUGAAUCAAAAACAACACCCCGAAAACAAGAAACUAGGGUUUCUUCCAACGCGAACAAUGGCAUAAAACAGAAGAAAAAAAAAAUGGGAGUAAAAAGAAGAGGCGAGAGAGCGAGGAUAAUACGCGAAGGAGCGUAGCUGAGAGAGGUCUCGAACCAGAACUCGGCUCUCCGGAUCUCCUCCUCGGUCUCCUCGUUGAUGAAAUCGAAGAACCUCGGCGCGGAGAACUCGUAGAUCUCGUCGAUUUGGAGGGUCUCCACGUGCCCCCCCCCUCCUCCUCCUCCUCCUACUUUCGAAUCCAACGCCAUGGAUGUGCGUAGGUAAGCUUCCUAGGGUUCGGGUUUUCGGGAGAGGGAGAGGGAGACGAAGAGCUGUUGCUGUUUCUUCUUAGGGUUUCUUUUCUCUUCGAUCUUUCGCUUCGGAUCGUGUAUGGUAAGUGCGAGGGGUUUGGAGGGGGGAGGAAAGAAAUGAACGUUGCAAUUUGCAACGGUCGAGAAAUUUGAACUUCAUAUGAAAACACCAAGUCGACGAAUUAUCUGAAGCCCAGCUCCACGUCAGCGGUUGUAAUAAUUACCGACACGUGAUAUCCGACCAAUCGUGUGAGGAGAUUCGGACGUGGCUUGAACUUUUCGCGUUGUGAUAGAGCACUGCUCGGUCGCAUUAACGGCUAGUUGCUGUGGUGGGCCCCACUAGAAUUUCCGCGGCGGAAUAAGGACCGCGGAAUUGGACCGUUGUCAACGGGAUGAUAGUUUUCGACCGUCGGAUCCUCCUCUCAACGAAUCUGAACCGUUCGACGCGUUUCCGGGAGUCGAUCGUGGAUAAUGUCGCAUUGUUUGAUUAAGAAUUCGAGUUUGCUUAUUAUUAUUACUACUUACAUUUUAAAGGCAGAUUUUUUUUUUUUUUUUUGAAUCAAGUGUGGAAAGGUUAAUUUUAGACAUGAAUUAGAGAUAAUCUAAUAUAGGUUUUGAGAAAAAGUUAGAAAAAAGAAAUAGCACGAUGUAAAUUUAUGGGAUAACAACACAAAUAUAGGGACCAAGGAACAAUGAAUUACUUUUGAGAGGCCUAAGAGUAUGCGUUUUUGCGAUACAGUACUCAUAUUAGUUAAUUCGCGAAUUAUUCGUGAAUUAUUGAAAAUUUGAAUUAAACGGUCCGUUUACAAAUUUUUUUCAAAGAAAGAAAAUUAUUUGCGAAUUUUUGGACCUGCUGAAUUAUUCGCGAAUUAUUCCCGAAUUAUUAAAAAUAUGAAUAAAAAACUUAUAAUUUUUAUUUUUAAAUAUAAAUAAUCUUAUAUUUUAUAUUAUAUAUUAUAUAUUUUAAAUUAACUAACUAUGCUCAUAACUUCGCAGAUUUUGUGAUAGUGUUUAUUUAGAGAGAUUGCCGAAGUCAAUGUUUGAGUGGAAUCACUUUUAAGAACUCCCUAUGUAGACUUACAUAGAGUGGGGAGUUUAUUUUGCUGCAGUUUUUAGUUCCCAACUACAUCCUACUAUGAUUAUAAAUACAAAUUGUGAAGUGUUUUAAUCUUUAGAAGCAUCAAAAUGCCAUGCAUGUGCUUUCAAGGUGGAUGCAUGAUCAUAUGCCUACUUCACCAAACUUAUGUACUAUUUUUUUUAAAAAAAAUUCGAGUUUUUUAAAGCAUUUAAGACUCAUGAAUGGGUGGAUUUUCCUUUCCCCUUUCAUUUUUUAAUGCUCCAAUUGAAAGAAGACCUUUUUGAGCCUUAUCAAUAUCAUUUAAAUUUUAAUAUUUUUGGCAAUUAUCACUAAUUUCGGGUUAUCAGUGUUAUUUAGAUAUGAAAGCAGUAAAUAGUUAAAUAGAAGUGCAUGUGUGUGAGAAAAAAAUUUAGAAUGCAUCAGUUAUAUUACUGAUGUGGCAUCUCUAACCAAUCAGACUUUUUUUUUUUUGGGUUCACUAAUUCCGUCAUGAUUAUUAAAAAAAUAUUUUUACUGUACUUUGUACUCAAAAGAUAAAAUAUGAUUGGCUGGAAAUAGAUGAUGUGAUAUAACUGUUAUAAUGUAGAUUUUCUCAUGUGUGAGGGAGAGAGAGAGAGUGAGAGAGAGAUACACAAGAGAGAGUGAGAGAGAUUUUUUCCUAAUGAGAAAAGUUAGAGAUAUCUUUUCUCUGGUGACAUCUUUUCCCCGGUAAAAAGAAAUUAAGAUAUGCACAUGCUAGACAAAAAAGGAUGGUUGAGACGGAGGGGCGCAUACUUGUGUGGUAGAGAGAGAAAUCUUUUCUCUGGUGAAAAAUUUGAGAUGCGGAGAGGGCACGGACCUCCUGCCACAUUUGUUUUGCAGGUCAGAGAAAAUUAAAUUUUAUUCUAUUUUUUACUUUUAUUUUCUGUUUCAUUUAGAAAGAAGGGACCAAAACAGAAACAAAAUUUUGAUAAAAUUUUACCAAAUUGGGACAGAUCAAAAAAAAAAAAAAAAUCUUCUAUCUUCUGCUCUUUUUUCGGAAGGAUGGAAAAUUAUUGAUCGCAGAUCGGAGAGAUCUACCAAUCCGGAUCCAUUUGCAUCCAAGAUGAGAUAGAGGUGGGAACUUCAAAGAAAAGAGGAGGGAAAUGUGUAAACUAACUACAGAAACUACAAAACUGCAGUUACUUUAUAUAUAUAUAAAAAAAAAAAAAAAAAAAAAAAACNCCCAGAGUAUUUAACUUAAUUCACAACUCCCGUGCAUGAAAAAUCCCUAUUGUACUACUCCAUGAAACAAUGAGAGCACAGGCUAUUUUAUUCAGCUAAGGGAAAUAAAACAACAAGCACAAUUUAGAUUUGAAAACAACUGCCGUCCAAAAAGCAAACGACAAUCACAAUUUAAAUGAUGCGGCUCGAGACUAAACAAUUGACAUAAGAAAGACAAAAUUCGGCUUCCCCUUAGAAAGGAAGCAAAAUGUCUAAAAGGUAUUUCAAAGUAAAUUUAAAUAACCCAGUGCUUUAGACAAAGUUUAUAAUCCCCCUCCUCCGAGAAGGAUGAAAACGCAACUAAAUCAUACUCAAUAGUAAUAAACCUCCGCAAGCGCGCUACAGCAACAAAAAAGGCGUUCAUUGUCGUCAAUUAUUCAAAAGCAUGAACUUAAAAAAGCAAAUGCAAGCAUCUAAAUCCAUGUUCUUCAUCGUCAUCAUCUGUGUUAAUUACCCUUAGCCGCCGCCGCCAGAUCCAUACUUCUUGCCGAAAACGAUCACCUGGAGCUUAUCGUACCCGGCGAGAACACCAGCACCCGCGACUGCACGGAGAAUGUUGGCGCCAGCGCCCUUGAAGAGGGAUUUCGCGCCCUCGUUCUUGAUGAUCUGUUGGAAGGCAUCCAGCGAGCUGCGGUAUUUGACCGCCUCACCGGAUGUCAUCAUCAUCCUCCUACGAACAGUGUCGAUGGGAUAGGAGGCAAGGCCGGCGCCGAUGGUGAUGCCCCAUCCGAGAAGGAAACUCGCGAAGAAAUUGUCCUGUGCAAAACAGUUGUUUACUUAAAUGCUAAUUGUUAAAUUGUUAAAAAGGAUAGGUUGGGCUUCAUGUCCGAAGAAAACAAUGGAAGGACCAGACUUAUGCUUGGUUAACUGACCUGCAAGGGACCAACCAGAACCACGGGCUUGAGAGAAUCGUACAUCCCGAAGUAAAGCCCUCGGUAAACAAUAAUACCAACACACGAGAUGUUGAAUCCACGGUAAAGACCGGCAAGGCCAUCGGACUUGAGGGUCUUCUUAUAGACAUCGAUGAGGCCGUUGAACUGUCUCUCGCCGCCCUUCUUGGCGGCCUUGGCAUCAUUGGCCAAACGGGUACGGGCGUAGUCCAAAGAGUACACAAAGAGGAGAGACGAAGCACCAGCUGCACCUCCAGAUGCCAAGUUACCGGCAAACCAUUUCCAGUAACCGUCUCUAUCCUUCUUGAAGUUGAAAAGGCUCUUGAAGUAGUCUUUAAAAGCGAAGUUCAGGGCCUGAAUGAAACAUAACCAAAAUGUUAAUACUUGAAUUCUAGAAGAGUUGCAUAUAGCCAAAUAUGGAUUCGUUACAAGUUUUGAUCCUGAAGUUUGAGCUCGAGUUCAGUUACAUCAACAAUAUUUCAGCUUUUACAAUCUCUCACAGUUUGUUCCACAUACCAGUUAAGCCCAUUGUUAGUCUACCAUCAAAAGAGAUUAAUGCCUCAUCAGAAUAACCAUAAACUUUUGCUGUCAGGUCCAACCUAAAGAAGUUGCCAUGACGGCAAACUCUAACAAUCAUGCUAAUAAUGGCAUCUUUCUCGGGCGACAGAUCAACAGAGAGUUUGAUCAGUGCAUGGGAUGCAGAUCAACAGAAGACUUUAGUUGGUAGAUAGGAUGAAGAUCAACAAGAUAAGAGGACAUAAUUAUAAUCAGGCCAAACUCUAAAGAUUUCAAUUACAUAGGUUUUUCAACUUCAACAAACGAGACCCCAAAAGUUUGCUCCACUUGACAAUUAAGUUCUUUUGUUAGUCUACCGUCUAAAAUUGCUAUCUUAGCAUCAGCAAUUAAUCAUGCUAAUACAGUAUCCUUUUUCAAAUGAUAGGUUAAUAGAAGGAAUUAAUUGUGACAGAGACGAACUCCAGGAAUCUAAAUGCUAACAUGAAGCUCUGAGGUGUGAUUUCAAUAAUGGUCAAAUUUUAAGGACUAAUUCAUAAUUAACCAAAACAAAGGAAACAAAGGAAAGAUAUUAGGACCUGAGUGGGGAAGUAGCGAAUGACGUUUGCAGUGUUUCCUCUCCACAAUGCAAGAAUGCCUUCAUCCUUCAUGGUUCGGGCAAAGCAGUCCCCAAUUCCCUUGUAGGGCUCAGAGAGCCUACCGCUCUUAAUCAUCUCAUCCUGGUUCUGAAUUAGGAGCUUCACACGCUCAAUGGGAGCUGCAGCUGUUUUGGAGACGGCGGCAGAGACACCUCCCAUGAGAAAGUCGAUCAGAAACCCAUAGGGGCCCUUCUCUGAAGGAGCAUUAGCAAAGACAGGUGAAAGCGUGGAGAUAGAUGAGAGCCCAAUAGGCCCAUUAAUGCCAUGGUAUGACCUCAGCACAGGGCCCUGCAGGCUCCCAUUCAAGUAAGUGGCUCUGUGGAUGCCAGGAUUUGUGCGGGCUACUGAACAGGGAGAGAGUUUAGUGAACAAGGUUGAUUGGCCGUGAAUCUUCUGUACGACGGAAGGAGGGCGCAGUUCUUCCGCCAUUUUAGCAAGUCACCAAGCUGACCUGCUUCAUAACAAUAGUAAGGACAUCUAUAUGCAAAAGUACAACGAAGACAACAAAAAAGCAGCAUAUAAAUUCACUAAUAGUGUGUUUGCAAUAACAUUUCUGAAGAAGAGAAAGAGCUAAGAAGCCACUUCGUUGGUAAAAGUAGAAUGAACUUACACAAGCUUAUUCUUAUUAACAGAAAAGGCCAACAGAACAUCUUCAAGUGUUUUAGCAUAUAGUUAGUUCUAUGUGGCACAUACACUCCACAUCCUUGCCAUAUAAUGCAACACAGAGAAUAACAGCUAUUCGAGCAGGGUUUGGGGGUUCAACCAAAGCAAUUCAUAGAUUAUAGAUCUAUUACAAUACUUCUUCAUUUUCUAAACAUUCUCAAUUCUUUUUUCUGAAGGUCUAGAAAAUGAAAGUUCACUCUUAUGGAUUUCACGGAGAUCAUAGAAUCAGAUAUUGAAUAGCAGAUACUCUAUAUUGUUACAUUCAGAUCCUCAAAGAUAUCAUAUUUUAGAAAGGUUGUUGAUCUGAUCAAAUCUGUCACACGUGUGCAUUCAGUACUCAGGAAUUUGGUAGCCCUUUCAUUUUCCUAUUAAGGGUCAAGCAAAGGUACUCAAUUCAUAAUUUCAGAUUGAAGAUGACAUCAAAUCUUUCCUACAAAUACAUAUGUAACUAUUACUUAUCCAUUUAAGGGGGAUUCUUGGGAAAUGGUUAGUUUAAAUACACCUCUAUAAUGUUCCAGAAACUACUAAGUUCCUUGCGAAUCUCCACCUUCACUGGACAAGCUAUCAAAAGCUAACAUAGACUAAAAAAAAUAAAAUAUUUGCUAGGUUGACCAAUUUUAAAAUCAUAAGAAAAAAUAUUCCAUCCCAACACCUAAAAAGGACAAUAAUUGUUAAACGAAUAAGAUCUGACCCUAUCUAAGCAUAAUUUUCAAACCAGCAAACAAAAAAGCCACUGAUAAGGGCUUAUUCAACAUGUGAAAGAGAACAUAUGAACAAUAACCACGAAGUAAGAGUAAGGCGCCGAUCAAAGAAUCUACAACAAUUAGCACAGAAAACAACAAAUUACAUGCACAAAGCCUAAUUCACAACAAACCAUCCGCUAAAAUCGACUUCAAUCUAACGAAAUCGUGCCAAAACAACCGAAAAAAAAGCAGAUCUGAACAGCAGAAUCCCCCAAAACCAUCAUUUAAACAGAUCUGAAACGUCCACACAGAUCUAUGAACAGCAUAACUCCCGAUCGAUCACGAAACGCAGAUCGGGUAUCAAAGAACACGAAGAGAUCUAUAGAUCGAACCCUGGGAGCUGAAGCAAGGAUCGAUUUGACGCGAAUCGAUCAAGAUCUACACAGCAAAGAGGCGACGGAUCGAAGGGGAAAGAGAUCGAAGAGAGGUUACCUCGUGGGGGAGGCCGAGGAGGUGAGGGACGAGAGCCGCCACCCUCCGAACUAAUCUCUCUCUCUCUCUCUCUCCGUGUCGGCCAAUUGCGAAUGGAGAUGAGAUAUUUAUAGUCGGGGAGAGAGAGGAGAGAGAGAGAGUGGAGUGGACAAACCCUACUUGGGGUUCCAUUUCUCCGGAACGGGUUGAAUUGUCGACUUUGCCCUCGCCAUAUUUUACUUUUCUUUUUUUUAUUUUUUUUUAUUUUAUGGAUUGGAGGAGAAAUAAUUGGAUAAUGUUUCUCACACAGAUAGACACUGAGACACAUCAGGCUCCUUGUUUUGGGUGUAACGGAAUGUUUGAACUGUAACACUUUCGUUAUUUAAAAUGCGCAAAAUUUAUUAAAUUAUUCCGAACUUCAUUUCUUGAAAUUUUUAAUUUGUUUGUGGUAGCAAGCUAAAGUCACGAGUUCUAGGAGAGUAAAUUCUCACCUCAGAAUUAUCAAAAUACGACAUAUAAAUUUUUUUACAAACUUUGGUUGUGCAUCUAAAGUUGAAAUGAUCUUAUGUGUAGCACAUUAUUGUGCCCUUCAAUAAGGUAGUAUACUUUCACUUUCUUUUUCUUUUUUUUUUAAGUUGAGAGAUUUUAGGAGUAUGGCGUAGAUGAAUGGGUGCACCGGGAGCAGCCAAUAUUUUUAUGUAGGGCUGUUCUAACGAUUUUGUAGAAAAUAGUUGGGCUAAAAUGGACCGGGCCUAAAAAUUUAUUUUUUUUUACUUCGCUAGAGACGGCCCACUCCUGACCCAUUUCCAUUUUUCAAGAAAACAAGCGUUUCCAAAAGGCAUGACAACAAUAACAAAAAAUGGCUUCUCGAUAACGCACUGAAACAACAUAUAUGUUGGUUUUAUGAACUAGGUGGUUGGUACCCGAGACCCAAGUUCGAAUCCUAGUUGAUUCACAUUUUCAGCUAAGUUUAUUUCUAAAUGAAAUAAAUGAAGCAGGUAGCGUGCUACCUAUCUCUCAAAAAAAACAUUUGGUGCUAUUAGAUUUCGACCUUUGGACGAAGAGAUGUGUAGUUAGAAUGAUAGUAAUCCUCUACGAUUGAGUGGGUGAUUGAUUAAAUAGUAUGAUUUAACAGGUGAAAUGAUUAAAAUGAUAGAUCUAACGACAGAACACUCGAUAGCACCAAACGUUUGAUACUAUCGGUAAUAUAGUAGCCGAACUCUAGGUUUUAUAUAUAUAGUUGUUGUGAAUAUAAAAUUAUAAGGGGAA